AGUUUCUUACGGGUAUGGUUGGUUAGAGCGUAGGUCUCGUAACCGAAAGGUCGUGGGAUCGAAUCCCGCUAGAGGCUG
rnacentral:tRNA from 1 species